rnacentral:rRNA from 1 species
UAACUCCCAACCCCUGUGAACAUACCACUUGUUGCCUCGGCGGAUCAGCCCGCUCCCGGUAAAACGGGACGGCCCGCCAGAGGACCCCUAAACUCUGUUUCUAUAUGUAACUUCUGAGUAAAACCAUAAAUAAAUCAAAACUUUCAACAACGGAUCUCUUGGUUCUGGCAUCGAUGAAGAACGCAGCAAAAUGCGAUAAGUAAUGUGAAUUGCAGAAUUCAGUGAAUCAUCGAAUCUUUGAACGCACAUUGCGCCCGCCAGUAUUCUGGCGGGCAUGCCUGUUCGAGCGUCAUUUCAACCCUCAAGCACAGCUUGGUGUUGGGACUCGCGUUAAUUCGCGUUCCCCAAAUUGAUUGGCGGUCACGUCGAGCUUCCAUAGCGUAGUAGUAAAACCCUCGUUACUGGUAAUCGUCGCGGCCACGCCGUUAAACCCCAACUUCUGAAUGUUGACCUCGGAUCAGGUAGGAAUACCCGCUGAACUUAAGCAUAUCAAUAAGCGGAGGGAAAAGAA